rnacentral:tmRNA from 1 species
GGGGGUGUCCUGGCUUCGACGGGGGUUGCGAAAUUGCUUGGCGCAUGCCGAGGGGGCGGCUUUCCUCGUUAAUCCAGCAGCAAAAACUCAGACGCCAACGACGACGUCUACGCUCUCGCCGCUUAAGGCGUAAGCCCCGAACCCACUUGUGCCUGUGCUCGUGGAUGUAGGGUCACUAUCACGGGAUGGUUCCCGGCGGCGACCCGCCAACCGGAAACGAGACUUAGCGGGUAUGUCCUGCGGCGUGCUUCGCACACCGUGUUUCCGCAGGCCGAGAACGAACGGUGAGCUAAGCAUGUAGUGCCGGGCAUGGAGUGCUCUCGGACGCGGGUUCAACUCCCGCCACCUCCACCA